UAAUGCAAGUCGAACGAGAAAGUAUCUUCGGAUACGAGUACAGUGGCGGACGGGUGAGUAAUACAUAGGAAUCUACCCAAUGGAGGGGGAUAGCUCGAGGAAACUCGAAUUAAUACCGCAUAAUCUCCACGGAGUAAAGAGGGCUUCGGCUCUCGCCAUCGGAUGAGCCUAUGCAGGAUUAGCUUGUUGGUGAGGUAAAGGCUUACCAAGGCGACGAUCCUUAGCUGGUUUGAGAGGAUGACCAGCCACAUCGGGACUGAGACACGGCCCGGACUUCUACGGAAGGCAGCAGUAGGGAAUAUUGGACAAUGAGCGAAAGCUUGAUCCAGCCAUGCCGCGUGUGCGAUGACGGCCCUCGGGUUGUAAAGCACUUUAGGUAACGAGGAAAAGUUAGGUGUUAAUACCAUCUAACCUUGACGUUAAUUACAGAAUAAGCACCGGCUAAAUCCGUGCCAGCAGCCGCGGUAAUACGGAUGGUGCAAGCGUUAAUCGGAAUUACUGGGCGUAAAGCGCGCGUAGGUGGCAUAUUAAGUUAGAUGUGAAAUCCCGAGGCUUAACCUCGGAACUGCAUCUAAAACUAAUAAGCUAG
rnacentral:rRNA from 1 species